GAUCCUGGCUCAGGAUGAACGCUAGCUACAGGCUUAACACAUGCAAGUCGAGGGGCAGCAUUUUAGUUUGCUUGCAAACUGAAGAUGGCGACCGGCGCACGGGUGAGUAACACGUAUCCAACCUGCCGAUAACUCCGGAAUAGCCUUUCGAAAGAAAGAUUAAUACCGGAUAGUAUACGAAUAUCGCAUGAUAUUUUUAUUAAAGAAUUUCGGUUAUCGAUGGGGAUGCGUUCCAUUAGUUUGUUGGCGGGGUAACGG
rnacentral:rRNA from 1 species